rnacentral:lncRNA from 1 species
UUGGUAAUAACAUGAAUUUGUUUCCAUUGAUCAAUUAUGUGAGAAGAAAAAUCCUGUUUUCUGGUAUAUCUUGCCUAAAUACCUUGGCUGGCUGACUGCCCUGCAGGCUGCCUUGUGGGGCAAGAGAGUCUGAAAACAGACUAACCACAGUAUUUUAGUGAAUCUGAAAUUAUUCUUUUUUUUUUUUUUUUUUUUUUUUUUUUUUUUUUUUUUUUUUUUUUCACCUCUCAAAAAUGCCUUGCAAAGGCAGUGUAUUUCUUGUGGCUCCAUGUGGGGUUUGUUCAGCCUUUUCAUGCUUCAGAGAGGGAAUUGCAUGUUUUUCCUAGAAAGGAGAAAGAGCCAUGGUGCUGAAGCAGGAAAUACACAGGCUGGUGACCGAGUGCCUCUCUUUAUCUCUACCCUUCCUGAAGCUUAGUUAAACUGAGCACCACAUGUCCCAGCUGAGGCAGUGUUACCUGAGUGGCACACCAACUCUGGAGUGAGUCUGUACUUCUGAGAGCAGCACACCCUGUUCCUGCCCAGACACUGGUGUUAAAUACAGGGAAUGUUCCUGCCCAGACACUGGUGUUAAAUACAGGGAAUGUUCCUGCCCAGACACUGGUGUUAAAUGCAGGGAAUGUUCCUGCCCAGACACUGGUGUUAAAUACAGGGAAUGUUCCUGCCCAGGCACUGGUGCUAAAUGCAGAGAAUGUUCCUGCCCAGACACUGGUGUUAGAUGCAGAAUGUCCCUGCCCAGGCUCAGUGUCCCUGCAGGUGCUGCACAGGGCACCUCAGUGCAUCCCUUACCCCACUCUGCACCUGCCCAUUGCUGGGGGAGGCACAGCUCCCUCUGCACUCCAUCUCAGGGCCUUCAGCCUCAGCUUUCUGAACCCCCCCUGCUCCUGGAAGGCCCAGUGCCACCUCAGGGGGAUGGGGACAGUGCUGGAGGUGGUGCUGGAGGUGAUGCUGUGGGAGAGGCUCAGCCAGGGCAGAGUGUCUGAGAACCCCCAGCCCUCCCCUUCUGCAGCUCCCAGGGCUGGGCAGCCUCUGCCUGAGGAGCUGAGAGCCUUCUCCUGCCAUUUCCCCAAGGCUGGCAGCUAAGCAGUGUGAUUGAAGAGUGCCCUGUACCCUCCUCGAGUUUCAGCAGUGGGAGUGCCCUGAACUCUGCUUUGCACUUUUUUACAGCAUCUGUCCUCUGUCCCAUCGGAUCCUGGAUGCUGCCUCUGC